CAUUUGAUGAGUUGCCUAAAAGAAGUUCCAACACUCAGAGGUGACAACCACACUGAGUGGAGGAAGAAAGUUGAACUGGCGUUUGUUUGUGCUGAUCUUGACUGGGUUGUGGAGAAACCACAGCCGGUCAGACCCACAGAGCCAGUAAGAGAGGCUACUGACGAUGAUGCUGCAUGGGCUAAAAAGAGAGGGGACUAUGCUCCUUUGGAGCAGUCCUACCUCAUAGAUAAUCAAAAGUGGGUCAAUGCAAAUAAAAAAUGCAUGGCCUUUAUAAAGAACACCAUUGAGAGCGCCAUUGUGGGCUCCAUUGCAGAGUGCACUUCGGCAGGGGAGUUGCUCUCAAAGAUAAAGAGCCAGUUCACUGGCUCUUCAAAGAUAUAUGCCACCCAGGUGUUAGAGCAACUGGUGACAGAAAAAUACAGAGGUGGCAGUCAUGGCAUAAGAGAGCACAUCCUCAGGAUGAGCAAUAUGGCUGCAAAGCUCAAACCAAUGGAUGCGGAUCUGGAGAUCAAACCAGCGCUCCUGGUCCACCUUGUCAUGGCUUCAUUG
rnacentral:rRNA from 1 species